AUGGAGCGCUGCUAAAGCAGCUCUUUUCCUUUGCCUCUGCUCUCGCCACUGCCUUAGUUGUUCCUCAAUUGCUGCCUUAGCUUUCUCAGCCAUCUCAGCCCUGCUCACUGCCUGCUCUGCCUGAGUCCUAAACUCAGCAAUUCUCACCAUUGCAAAUUCCAACUCCUUCAGAACUUCCGCCUCAUCCCUAUUUUCAAAUGUGGCCGAUUGACUUAAAUUUUCAGAUAGCAAUACUGGAAUUUGAUCCGCCUUCUUAGCCUUGCUAACCAAUGAUUCAUAUUCAAUCACUGAAAUUGUGAUGUGGUCAUCUUUUCUUGCUUUAGCUUCUUUAUUGUAUUCAUCUUUUUGGGAAAGUUCUAAAUCUUGAGAAGAGACUUCAAAUUGGGGGUUGACAGAGACAGUCUCUCUAGUUAUUUCUUUUGCUUCAUCCGCUCCUUGUUUUAGCCUUUGGCUCUCCUUCUUGGCUUCUCCUGCUUCUACUGCUAGUUGCUGGACUGCAAGAUAUAGCCCGGACUUAACACUCUCAGCCCUUGCUUCAGCUGCCUCUGCUGCUGCAAUUCUUGACCUCCCUUUGUGAAGCUCAGAUUUCACAAGUGCUAUUUCAACUUGAGCUUCAUUCUCCCUUCCUCUAAUCUCAUCCACCUCAAUUUUUGUCUUCUCUAAUUCCCCUGUAAGCAUCUCAACAUCACACUUUAAACGGCCUACCUCCUCAUUUGCAUUCUUAAGCUUUAUUUUCAACUGAUUAAGCUCCAUUUCCAGUGAGUUAAUGGAUACUGCUUGUUCUGAGUUCUCUCUUUCCUGCCUUUCAAAAUCUGAUUUUAGCUGGUUUAAAUUGUUAAUAGCUUCAGAAGCAGCUUUUGCAGAUAAACUGUGAAGUUCAUUGGCUUCUUUAAGUUCAAAUUGCAGGGUUUCAAUAAAUACCGAUUUAGCCAGGAGCUCAUUUUCCAGAAACUGCACUAUCUCUAUAGAACUGCAGAGUUCUCUUUCUCUGCUUCAAUAGCAGCCAGCUUUGAAUGAAGAAUAGCUUCAUUAAGCUCUGAUACAUGCUUUAGAAGCUCAGCUGUCUUGCCUCUUUCCAUGUUGACAGCAGUUUGCAUCAGCUCUGCUUGUGUCAUAGCCUUGAAUUCAGAUUCUCUAGCAUCAGCAAGUUCUGUUUCCACACGAAGUAACUCUUCUUGUGCACUUUUCAACUCGCUUAAAGCUUGUGAAAGCUGCUCUCGAACCUUUGCAGUUUCCAACAAUUGAUCAGCCAUCUCCUUCGUCUUGGUUUCAAGUUCAUCUAUCCGGAUUCUAGAUUCUAUGCAUUCAUUUAUGUAUUUAUCUCUCUCAACCUCGGAGCUCUUCAGCAAGGUGGAAAGCUCAUCUGCUGCUUUCCGAUAGUGAUCCAGCUUAAGAAGGGCAUGCAUGUGGGCAGAGUCCUUUGCCUCCAGUUGCACCUUGCAGUUGGCUAAGUCCUUUAGCAGACCUUCAAGCUCUUGUUCUUUCUCCAACUCUGGCUGGUGAAGGAAAUAGGACAACAAUAGGAAUAUCAAAACUAUCCAAUUUUACAGUAA